UGAUGUGUGUAAAGCAUUUUAUAAUAAUGCCUGACACAUACGGGACACUUUGUAUACGUAUUCGUUAUCUUGGCUCCUUUCUUCAACACACUUACACCCAUCUUCACACAUGAGCUGUAGUUUCUGCUGCCUCUGUGUUCCCACUGCAGGCUGUGUUUACUUUCACUACAGCACUCAGCAAAUUCAUUAGGAAGAUUCGUGCCUGUUUUUUCUGCUUGACUUUGAGCUCCUCCAGGGCCCAGGAGUAUGUUUUGUUGUCUCUCAGUUCCUGACACAGUGCAGCUGUUUGGUAAAUAUUCUUUGAAUAAAUAAGUGAGCUUGCAGUCCAGGGACUGGUCUGUCUUGGGCUGAGUCCCGAAGUGGUUUUAGAACCCAGCUUUUCCCUAACCAGCUGCAGCUGGCUUCUCUGUCAUGUGUGCAUACCUGGACCCCUUGGUCUGAGACUUUUGCUGCCUGGGAUCCUUUGGGAAAUAAAUCACUCUCCAAGUUCUCAUAUAUUAGGAGAGUUGCAGCUGCUUUUUCAUCUAUUUUUCUGGGUGCUGGACCUUGCUUGUUUGGGCGGAGCAUCACUUGUACCUACCUCUUCUCUGGUUUUCUCUCCCGUUAUUAGUUAGCUCCUGAAAACCAACACCUCAGACCCUCCCACCUCUGCUCUAUACUCCCAGCAGCUGCAACUACUGAGAGCCGGCACUGAGUGGAACCCUGUUCGCCAUCCCUGCACUAAAUCAUGCCCUUGCCCACACAGAUCCACUUUACUGGUCU
rnacentral:lncRNA from 10 species